rnacentral:ncRNA from 2 species
UAGUUAUCAAGAAAGGUGGAGGGAAUAGACCCUUUGAAGCCUUAGCAACCCUUGAGCGUUACCAACGACUGUUGGUACUCCAAGAAGGUGCUACAUUCUACCCUUGUGGGAAGGAUAACAC